GGAUGAAGCGAAAGUAAAAUUUCGUGGAGGUCCGAACCCACGAGCGUUGAAAAGCUCGGGGAUGACUUGUGGGUAGCGGUGAAAUUCCAAUCGAGCCCGGAGAUAGCUGGUUCUCCCCGAAAUAGCUUUAGGGCUAGCCUCAAGGUGAGAGAUACGGAGGUAGAGCACUGAAUGUCCUAGGGGGUAUUGCACCUACCGAAGACUAUCAAACUCCGAAUGCCGUCAUCUUAUACUUGGGAGUCAGACUGUGGGUGAUAAGAUUCAUAGUCGAAAGGGCAACAGCCCAGAUCGUCAGCUAAGGUCCCUAAAUGUAAGUUAAGUGGUAAAGGAUGUGGGAUUGCACAGACAACCAGGAUGUUGGCUUAGAAGCAGCCACUCAUUCAA
rnacentral:rRNA from 1 species